AUCGGCCUGCGAUACACGUGAUAUUAAUUUUGUUUCUGGACUAAUGAAAUAUCGGGAGUCGAGCCCUCUGUGGCGCACAAGCCGGACACGAUCCGGAUCUGUAAAGCAGAAAAGGCAGAUGCCCACUUGAACUUAGAGUUCGAGAAAACAAUUAAUACACGGUAUCGCGGGUAAAAU
rnacentral:other from 1 species